CUGCGAGUUCGCGGGAGAGUAAGUUAUUGCCAGGGUUUUUAUUUUAUACUUUAAACAUUGAUUUUAUUUUUUAUGUUUUUAGAUGUUCAUGUUUUUGAAUGUUUUAUUUAAAUAAUAUAAAAAAUAAAAUAUAUAUUGACAUGGAUUAAACAAAGAUAUAUAUUAUUCUAUGUUGCAUAAACAAAUUGGCAAAAUAGAGAUGGAAGAUAAAAAUAUGGUCAAAG
rnacentral:misc_RNA from 2 species